GGCUGAUUAAUUUAACGGGCUCGCACCACCCGAGCCAUCGCCUUCUCCCUCCUCCGCUCUCGUUUCUUCUUCCCCAUCGCCGCCCGCGUUGUUCUCUCUCUCUCAUCUCCCUCUCCCUCUCCCUCCCUCUGUAGCCCAAGAAGAGCAGCAGCAGCAGCAGCAGCGGAGGGAGAGUGAAUGGAGUUCGUGCUGAUCAUAUCGCUGCCGCUCCUCAUCCUGAUCAUCAUCGUCGCGGUAGUCCUCUGCAUCAUCUGCCGUUAGCCGACCGAACGGCCACACCAGGAUAUUCAGCACCAUCUUUGCUGUGAUCUUACCGUGUGCUAACGAACUCAGUACAUCAUGACCUGACAAAACUUUACCUCUCCAUUGCUGUGUAAUUAAUUAAUUCUAGCUUUAGCUUCUUUUUUUCUUGUGCAAAAGACGUCGAUUGCUAAUACACUUGCGCUGUAAGUGUGGGAGAUUGGAUACCUGAAAGUGUGAUCUUUUCUUUUU